rnacentral:rRNA from 1 species
AUGAACGCUGGCGGCGUGCCUAAUACAUGCAAGUCGAGCGAACGGACGAGAAGCUUGCUUUUCUGAUGUUAGCGGCGGACGGGUGAGUAACACGUGGAUAACCUACCUAUAAGACUGGGAUAACUUCGGGAAACCGGAGCUAAUACCGGAUAAUAUUUUGAACCGCAUGGUUCAAAAGUGAAAGACGGUCUUGCUGUCACUUAUAGAUGGAUCCGCGCUGCAUUAGCUAGUUGGUAAGGUAACGGCUUACCAAGGCAACGAUGCAUAGCCGACCUGAGAGGGUGAUCGGCCACACUGGAACUGAGACACGGUCCAGACUCCUACGGGAGGCAGCAGUAGGGAAUCUUCCGCAAUGGGCGAAAGCCUGACGGAGCAACGCCGCGUGAGUGAUGAAGGUCUUCGGAUCGUAAAACUCUGUUAUUAGGGAAGAACAUAUGUGUAAGUAACUGUGCACAUCUUGACGGCACCUAAUCAGAAAGCCACGGCUAACUACGUG